rnacentral:lncRNA from 10 species
UCUGCAGGUAACUGAAACUGCAGACAGAGAAACUGUGGAUAAGGCGACUGCUGUAAUGCAUUCACUAUACUUCAUCUCUGAAUGUGAGCAACUCCAGAAAACUACUUGGCCAGAAAUGGGGUUCCACUAUGUUGCCCAAGCUUUGAACUCCCAGACUGAAGAGAUCCUCCUACCUUCGCCUCCCAAAAUGCUGGGAUUAAGGGCACAAGCCACUGUGCCCUGCCUCCUACAAUAUUUUGACAGACAUCAAAUAGCUGCACUCUUUCUGAACAAGCCUGAAUGUAACCUCUUAUUUUCUUCUCAACUAUGGUAGUUCAGGUCACUAUACUAAUUAAUCAGCAUUGUUACCAUUUGUGACAGACUCAACAGUAUCCAGAGUAGAGCAAAUUAUCAUUGAAAGCACUUUUGAAAAAUGGAAUUGGGAACUGGUAGUAUUUAGCAAAGAAUGACAGUAUCCAACAGAACACGGGAGCUCUCUUCAAAUAUUUAAAGGAGUGGUGUAUGGAAGAGGAAGUAGAUUCACUAUUUGUUACAGCUCUUGAAGUCAAAACAAAGAAGAAGGCAGAGAAUUGCAGGAUCUCUGCUUAUAAUAGAAAAUGUCAAUUAGUGAAAUAAGUGCUCUUAAAAUGCUAUAGUUACUCUCAACCCCUAGAACUAUGCAAAAGUGGCUGAGGUAUUAAUCAUUGAGAAGACUUUGGUAACAGUGAAAUAGGUGACCAAUAAAUUAGUACCCAGAGGCUAAAUUAUGACAUUAAAACACCCUCGGAUUUUCAUAAAAAUAAUUAUUUUGCCACCAUUUGUACCAGAUUAUGUCUGAUUGUAUUCAAAUAUUUUAUGCAAAUAUUUCAGCACAGCAUAAUUACUGAGUUUGAUUUGUAGACAUGAUUUAUAUAUUCAAAGAAGACUGUGGACAUCUCUCUUGUUGAAAGCUCUUUGGGCAAAAACUAAAGUGGCCUUAGACUCAACGUGCUCUGCAAUAUUAUCUGCAUUAAUUUUGAA